UCUAAAUCCAAAAACUCCAAAUGUCCACCAGCUCCAGUCACAUUGGAGAUACAGGUGUGGUUUGCUCCUAAGACCCACCCAGCACACGUGAGAUGGGGAGACCUGGAUUGCAUCCCCAUGUCUGUCCCAGUGGAGAUAUCAUUGGAAAAGCUGCAGUGAUCUCUAUAAAAAUCUCAACCACCCGCUCCCGUGUCUCCUCUCAAGAAAGGGAGAAUCCUCCAGCCUUCUGUGCCUGCAUGCUGAGAACCCAUAGAGAGGAGCAUCCCUGGAGAAUCCCAGCUUGCAGCCAUCUUCCCUCAAGCGCAUUUCCAGUGUCCAGCCUGGCUUUCUGAUCAUUUUUGCUUUAGGAAGGCCUCCGACCAUGGCACUCUGUUUCCCAUUUCAUAUAUUUUUU
rnacentral:lncRNA from 1 species